ensembl:processed_transcript
GGCUGUUUCAAUAUGGUCUGUUUGAUGAACUACACAUUGAGAUUCAUAAAGAGCAGAUAAGCCUAGAAAGAUAAUGGAGGCAUAACUAUCCAUACAUUCAAAGAGAUUCAAAUUCACGCUAGAAGUUCAUCAUGUGAAAAGCCUUUAAAAAGUCCUUCAAUCGUAGAUUCCAUGGUCUCCCAAAUGUGAAAACAUAGUGAAUUUGACAUCAGAAGUUAAUCCAGCAAAGACAGUGAGCAGGCUUGUACAGGAAAGAGUGGAAGCACAGAACUCCCAUCAGGAUAAUAAACCCAGAACAUUUAGUGUGCCAAUGUGCAAUCUGUGGCAUAGACAAGUGAAGAAUUUCUUCUCUAUUCAUUUGGAGGUAAAUAAAAGAAAAAAUGAAUACAUUUAAUCUUCCUAUCCAUAUAACAAGAGAUUAAAAUGAUUUUACCUAUGCUGACUCUAUAGAAAAGGCACUCUUUGAGAAGAGAAAAGGGGAAGACAGAAAAAUGAACAGUGAGUGAUGGUACUUCGUUAAAGUACCUUAUAAAAUAUUUGAAAAUAUCAUAAUAAAACUCAUUUUCUGCAACUG